GCUUAAGGCCAUACCACUUUGACAAUGCCUGAUCUCGUCUGAUCUCAGAAGCAAAGCAGAGUCGGGCCUGGUUAGUACUUGGAUGGGAGANNGCCUGGGAAUACCAGGUGCUGAAGCUUU
rnacentral:rRNA from 1 species